GGCGGCGUAGCUCAGUUGGUUAGAGCAAACGGUUCAUACCCGUUAGGUCGUCAGUUCGAGUCUGACCGCCGCUACCA
rnacentral:tRNA from 1 species